rnacentral:rRNA from 1 species
GACGAACGCUGGCGGCGUGCUUAACACAUGCAAGUCGAACGGUAAGGCCCUUCGGGGUACACGAGUGGCGAACGGGUGAGUAACACGUGGGUGAUCUGCCCAGCACUUCGGGAUAAGCCUGGGAAACUGGGUCUAAUACCGGAUAGGACCCUGGGAUGCAUGUCCUGGGGUGGAAAGCUUUUGCGGUGUGGGAUGGGCCCGCGGCCUAUCAGCUUGUUGGUGGGGUGAUGGCCUACCAAGGCGACGAAGGGUAGCCGGCCUGAGGGGGUGAACGGCCACACUGGGACUGAGAUACGGCCCAGACUCCUACGGGAGGCAGCAGUGGGGAAUAUUGCACAAUGGGCGCAAGCCUGAUGCAGCGACGCCGCGUGAGGGAUGACGGCCUUCGGGUUGUAAACCUCUUUCAGCACCGACGAAGCGCAAGUGACGGUAGGUGCAGAAGAAGGACCGGCCAACUACGUGCCAGCAGCCGCAGUAA